AGAGUUUGAUCAUGGCUCAGGAUGAACGCUAGCGGCAGGCUUAAUACAUGCAAGUCGAGGGGCAGCGGGAGUAGCAAUACUUGCCGGCGACCGGCGCACGGGUGCGUAACACGUAUGUAAUCUGCCCAUCACAGGAGGAUAGCCCGGAGAAAUUCGGAUUAAUACUCCAUAAUAAAUUGAGUGGCAUCACUUGAUUUUGAAAGUUCCGACGGUGAUGGAUGAACAUGCGACUGAUUAGUUAGUUGGUGAGGUAACGGCUCACCAAGACCACGAUCAGUAGGGGUACUGAGAGGUUAAACCCCCACACUGGUACUGAGACACGGACCAGACUCCUACGGGAGGCAGCAGUAAGGAAUAUUGGACAAUGGCCGCAAGGCUGAUCCAGCCAUGCCGCGUGCAGGAAGACGGACCUAUGGUUUGUAAACUGCUUUUGAACUAGAGAAAACCCCUUUACGUGUAAAGGGCUGAUAGUAUAGUUAGAAUAAGCAUCGGCUAACUUCGUGCCAGCAGCCGCGGUAAGACGAAGGAUGCAAGCGUUAUCCGGAUUCAUUGGGUUUAAAGGGAGCGUAGGCGGACUUGUAAGUCAGUGGUGAAAUCUUUGGGCUUAACCCAGAAACUGCCAUUGAUACUGCAGGUCUAGAGUACAGUUGCCGUUGGCGGAAUAUGACAUGUAGUGGUGAAAUACUUAGAUAUGUCAUAGAACACCGAUUGCGAAGGCAGCUAACGAAGCUGUAACUGACGCUGAGGCUCGAAAGUGCGGGGAUCAAACAGGAUUAGAUACCCCGGUAGUCCAA
rnacentral:rRNA from 1 species